AUGCUCUGUGAGGUCCUGGCCACUUCGACCUCACAAUGUCCUGCAUCUAUAAGAGGCCCAGGGCUCGGCCCUGCCUCACAGCCCACGAAGUUCCACCUCCUCACAGGUAGGCUGGUUCAGCUGAGGUGGUGCCCCUGCUCUGAGCCAAUUCCAGGCCAAGUUCUCCUCGAACCACGGCCAGAUACAGAUGCUGCUGCAGCCCAAGCUGGAGCAGAUGCCACUGUAGACGCAGCGGUAGACGCAGCCAUAGACGAAGGUGGAGAUGCCAUCACAGUUGGAGACAAAGGUGCUGCCGCUGCAGGUACACCCGGAGGUGCAGAAGACGCUAACUGCAGAAGAGCAAGUCCACCGUACUCCUGGUGAAGACUUUGCCAGACCUCAAGAUCGUCUUGCCACCUCUCACACUGCCACCUUGCACUGAAACAGGAGCCUGUUAAGGAACAAUGCCGCUUGUUGAUAAAUGUUAAACUCAUCCCACUCAUGCCUUUGUCCUUGAUGGCUCGGGGAGAGGGCUGGCCUGGAGGCAGAAGGGCUUGGGGAUGUGGCACAGAAAGGAUGCUGGGAAGGGGGCCAUGAGAGUGACAAUUGUCAUAAGGGAUCCUGUCCAAAACUCAGUGACACGACAUGAGGAACACUUGCUCCCAAACUACCUACCUCUCCGACCCCUAGAGCUGGGUCAUCACAUUUGAGGGCCACUGUCCUUCCACCCUGUUCUGAGGUUGGCAGCUGGCAAUGAGCCACACAGGAAGAUGCUGUAAGGAUCAGAGGGCCAUCAGGGCUUCCUUACCCCAAGGGUAUCUGGGGGUCCCCAGAGCCAGUUAAACAUCUGCCAGUCCCCAAAGUGUCACACAAGUUUAAUUCGAAGCUGAAAUCUCGACAGUUCCUUUGGUUAUACAGGGAACAAGACAGUCACCAUUAGAAUUAUGAAUUCAAGGUUUUCCUUCAUUCAGCAG
rnacentral:lncRNA from 1 species